AGGAAGUUCUUCACUUUCAAGCUAAAAGCAAUAUAAAUGGAUUUCCGUAUUAUAAGCGCCUAAAUUGUCUGAUGGGCGUUUAACCUGUGAUUGACAUGUGCCUGGACAGCUGAGAAUAUAAUGGAAAGACCCACUCCAGUGAUCUUUAAAAGCUGAGACACAAAAGCAUUGGAUAAUAAUUAAUAACACAAAACCUGCAUGAGAAAAUAAUCCUAUGGAAACUGAAUGCUCACUGAACUAAGCUUGAAUGCAUCGUUAUACGAUAUAUAAAUAUAAUUUUUUGCACCACUGAAAGGAUUCCGCACUUAAAUUACCCACAUCUAAGCUAAAAAGUAUGCAUGGCAUUAGAUAUCCAUAUUUCCGUAUUAUCAGCACGUAAAUUGCGCGAUGGGCGUUUAAUCUUUGAUUGGGAUGUGGACAGCGUGUCGUGCUAAGCAAAGCGAACGUUAAAUAAAUAUCUUAAAUUCGAAAGCACAAGAAAGCAGAAUAGACGUGGACUUAAAUAUUGUAAAUGUUGUGAAAUGGCAAUAAGGUGAAAAACGCAAAAAUGAGAAAAGCAGCUUUCAAUUCCAGAAGUAUUGUAAAUGGGCAUUGGAUAAAAGGAUCAUCGUUGUAUAUCAUCAGGUCAAUUAAAGUUGC
rnacentral:sRNA from 1 species